UGGGGAAUUUUGGACAAUGGGCGCAAGCCUGAUCCAGCCAUGCCGCGUGCGGGAAGAAGGCCUUCGGGUUGUAAACCGCUUUUGUCAGGGAAGAAAUCUUCUGAGUUAAUACCUCGGGAGGAUGACGGUACCUGAAGAAUAAGCACCGGCUAACUACGUGCCAGCAGCCGCGGUAAUACGUAGGGUGCAAGCGUUAAUCGGAAUUACCGGGCGUAAAGCGUGCGCAGGCGGUUUUGUAAGACAGAGGUGAAAUCCCCGGGCUCAACCUGGGAACUGCCUUUGUGACUGCAAGGCUUGAGUGCGGCAGAGGGGGAUGGAAUUCCGCGUGUAGCAGUGAAAUGCGUAGAUAUGCGGAGGAACACCGAUGGCGAAGGCAAUCCCCUGGGCCUGCACUGACGCUCAUGCACGAAAGCGUGGGGAGCAAAACAGGAUUAGAUACCCUGGUAGUCCACGCCCUAAACGAUGUCAACUGGUUGUUGGGAAGGUUCCUUCUCAGUAACGUAGCUAACGCGUGAAGUUGACCGCCUGGGGAGUACGGCCGCAAGGUUGAAACUCAAAUGAAUUGACGGGGUCAUAGCUGUUUCCUG
rnacentral:rRNA from 1 species